AUGGAGAUGGCAGUGAGGCCACGGGGGAGGCUGCUGUCCCCAUGCAAAUGGUUUGGGAAAACAGUGCACCACCUUCCAUUAAUUCCCCUGAUUAAAACGGAAUUAGUCGUUAGGUGUCGGGGACAGGCAGCUGUUUUCAAGGAAGCCCUGGCUCCACGAGGUCCUUCCUCGCAGGGCAGCGGCGGCUCUAUCUGGAGGUUCAGCCAACAAACCAGGAUGAAACCUCCCCAGAUUUUUCUGCAUUUUUUUCUGAAGGUGGUAACACAAGAGAAUGGUCUUUUCUGUGGAAAAGCUGACAACUUUUUUCCAUGUGAAGGACUUUCAUUGUCAGAGUUUUCUUCUGAGAUCACAAACACUUGAGUCAUGAAGCGCAUCCCUUCCUUCAAGUACUUCCAAGUCAUCAUCUGCUUGUUGGGAAUCUUGAAAAUAUGUGCCUGUGGACUACUACAUCAGGAUGCAAAGGAACAGAUCCAUUCUUACAGUAAUUAAAUGUCUCUUGGUCUUUGAGAACAUCACAAUUUGAGGUUAUGAAUAGUAUGGUACAUUAGCACCAUUUUCUAUUACAACAUGAAUGUCCCUAAAAGCUCAUCUCUGUAUGCUUACAAGCAGCUGCCAGGGAACAAUCUCAGCAACCUAUGUUCCCUUCGCAUCUUGCCUGUGAUGCUGGGAAUCGUGAAUAUCCCUUGAUCAAGUCACACAUCAGAUGAGAUACUGGAAGACUGAUUCUCAUCCUUUGAUUCCUUGUUUUCAUUUUACUAUAAAAGACCCUUAUCUUCAUUAAGCGAGGGCAGAAGUUCUUCCAUCAGCACACACUGCAGAGAUUGCUUUGGCUCUGAUGGGAGCUUGUCAACUUUCAC
rnacentral:lncRNA from 1 species